rnacentral:rRNA from 1 species
GACUCAACACGGGGAAACUCACCAGGUUCAGAUGAAAUAAGGAUUGACAGAUUGAGAGCUCUUUCUUGAUUUUUCAGGUGGUGGUGCAUGGCCGUUCUUAGUUCGUGGGGUGACUUGUCUGCUUAAUUGCGAUAACGAGCGAGACCUUACUCUGCUAAAUAGCCAGGCUAGCUUUGGCUGGUCGCCGGCUUCUUAGAGAGACUAUCAACUCAAGUUGAUGGAAGUUUGAGGCAAUAACAGGUCUGUGAUGCCCUUAGAUAUUCUGGGCCGCACGCGCGCUACACUGACAGAGCCAACGAGUUCUUUCCCUUGGCCGAAAGGUCUGGGUAAUCUUGUUAAACUCUGUCGUGCUGGGGAUAAAGCAUUGCAAUUAUUGCUUUUCAACGAGGAAUGCCUAGUAAGCGCGUGUCAUCAGCAUGCGUUGAUUACGUCCCUGACCUUUGUACACACCGCCCGUCGCUACUACCGAUUGAAUGGCUCAGUGAGGCCUUCGGACUGGCUCGGGGAGGUUGGCAACGACCACCCCAAGCCGGAAAGUUGGUCAAACUCGGUCAUUUAGAGGAAGUAAAAGUCGUAACAAGGUUU